AGGGAUGUAGCGCAGCUUGGUAGCGCGUUUGUUUUGGGUACAAAAUGUCACGGGUUCGAAUCCUACUUGGGGAG
rnacentral:tRNA from 1 species